GAUGAACGCUAGCGGCAGGCUUAAUACAUGCAAGUCGUGGGGCAGCAUGGUGUAGCAAUACACUGAUGGCGACCGGCAAACGGGUGCGGAACACGUACGCAACCUUCCCAAAACUGGUGAAUAGCCCUCCGAAAGGGAGGAUUAAUACACCGUAACAUAAUGAAAUGGCAUCAUUUUAUUAUUAUAGCUCCGGUCGGUUU
rnacentral:rRNA from 1 species